GGAAAGUUUGGUACCACGUGAUGUUCAAUGCCCCAGCUGGAAACAUUUACCUUGUUUAGAUCCAACUUCAGGAAAGUUUGGGAUGCUAUCUCUGCACGCCCUGUCUUUGAUCUCAGUUCUCAAGUGUGCCCACGGAAGCAGGCCUGAGGGAUGUGACCCCACCACAGAAUACCUGGAGUACGGAAAGAUUCCCAUUUGGAGACAUUCAUCAUUUCUCAUCAUAGAAGCUCAUAAAACCCAUCUUUUGCUGUCUGACAAGUGCCUUUCAGAUCAUGUUUUAAAACCUUCCCCGUCUGGCGUUGGGAACGCAGCCGCGGCUUGGUGGUGGAUAGCAAGAGGCAAAGCUGUACUCUCAUUGGAAACAGAAAUUAAGCUUGUCAUUAGAUGCCGGGCCACAGGAGUUGACUGAACAGGGCAGCAGAAGCCAAAAGAGAGGAUCCCAUCUGCUCGAGGCCAACUGAGCAAAAGGCAGAGUUGAGAUUGGAACUGAAGUUCAUUGUCAAGAUUCUUCUGCUCUGCCAUCUCCACCGAACCUGAUGAAGUAAAAGAGAUUCCACUUCAUCUUUUUCCUUUUGUCAAGUCUCAAGUUGGUUUUGUUUGCAAGCCGUCAUUUCUUAUGUGACUCAGAGAUGAGAAGACGUCAAGAAGCUUUUAAGAAGUAUAGUUUGCAAUAUAUAACUACAAUCCAAGAAAAUCAGUAUUAGACCACUGGAAAAACACCUGGACCCACAAGCCUCCAAUAUACUCAUUAGAAUUAACUUACUAGUGUGGGAAAACUGACAUGAUUAACUCUGUGCUAACUGUAAAUCUGAGAACCUGCUAGAUAUCCUGGGACAUAUUUGGAAUUCAUUAUAAACCCCACAAAACUCUAGCCAAUAAUCUAGGCAUUCUGUUCUGAGAUCAAGCACAUGAAAUAGAAAACUUCUGACACUUGGUAGGAUUGUGCAUACAAAAAAUAGGGAAGUAGGGACUUCCCUGGUGGUCCAUUGGUUAAGACCCCACGCUUCCAAUGCAGAGGGUGUGUGUUUGAUCCCUGGUUUGGGAACUAGAUCCCAUAUGCCAAGCAGCACAGUCAAAAAUAAAUAAAGUCCAGAUUUAAUCAAUUAAAAAAAAAGAAAGCAGUGUAGAAAAUAGGGAAGUGUAAAUCCUUGGCAGAUUUAAAAGCAAAAGUGGCUUUAAAAGCAACCAGCUAGACAUCAGAUAGAACUGUUUGGGUAUCACCAUUUGGUGACCACUCUGGAUGUCAUGGUUCUAGCCAUCAAACCAGGGCAUGGCCCAACAUGUUGAAAUGCUGUGGUUGUUCUUUCUAUUAACCUACAUGUGUGCACCAAUCGAGUGAGGUUUACAAAUGCAUAAAGCCUUAGAUCUUUAUAGUAGGUUGGCACUGGUUACCCUCAUUUUACAGAUGAGGAAAUUACAUUUCGUUGACCACUUAGCCUAAGGAAUCCAGUUAAACAAAGCACAGUUGAGUUGGAGACAAAGGGAGAAAAGUUUUUAAGGAAAGUGCUCGAAACAUCCUUUGUUGUGUGUCUUGCUUGGGGACUGUCUUCCUUCUGCUGUGAUUGGCUCUCUGUGGCAUGGUUUAUCACCACUGGCAGAGAUGGGGGGUGUUCACCAAACAUGCUCUCCUGUUCUCCCAAAUUUCCCAGCUCCCUUGUGAAUACAGAGAGUAUGCCUUAUUCUGGUCCAAGGGCUGCUGCCAGGCGAAAGCAUCGAAGCCCCUUUGUAUGGCUACCCAUGGCUCACUUCCUUUGCUCAUCAAGGCCUCUGUUAAAAUGUAGGAGCCACAAGAUCAAUACAGCCCGGACCUCUGAGUUCCAUGGAAUGUAGACAGCUGUCCUACGAGUCUCCCAUAAGCUCACUGUGUUUUGUGAAAGCAAGAAAGGAACACUGUUAAGCUAGUGAGCUUUGGGGGUUGUUUGUUACAGCAGCACAAGCUUGUGCUAUCCUUGCUUGCACAACUCUCUAAGCAUUGGUUUUGACAACGUCUCCCCUCUUCCCAGGGCCCAGAAGUGGAGGCUUGUCGUCCUCCUCCCUCCAUCUGGUUGGCUUUCGCUCAGGGAUGACUGACUUGUCACGAAGCCAUUUGUGAUCUCUGUAUUAGGAACACGUAUAAGAAUGAAUUGUACUGUUUGUGUAGAUGUCUCCAUUGACUCCUCCUUGCUGAAACUGACUGUAACAAGUGGUCGGGGUUUCCACCUGAGGGUAAUUCAUAUUUAUUGGGGCUGCCACCGACUCCUGAUUUCAUUUGCAUAAACUACCCAGGACAGAAGAGGAAUCUCCCCGGACCCUGUUUAUCUUGUGGAAGUGGAGCUUACUCCAGAGGGUGGAUCACUCCUCACAUGGGCCUCUCUCUCCAUCCCUUUUAGCGAUGAAUAAUCAUCAGUCAUCAGGAGAGGGGAUUAAAAAAUAGAUUUAUGGCUAUUUCUAAAAGUCAGAACUAGAGGAUGAGUAAACACAACAGAUGUAUAAGGAUGUAAGUAGAAACACUAUUUUACAAUAACAUGCACGGAAACACGUUUAUGUCCUGGAAACGAUGAAAAAUAGCUCUCUUUAAAUGAUUUAACAUUUGCUCUUCCUUAUAUACAGUUGAGCUUCCAGUGAGAGAACAAAGAUGCUCACAGCUCUCUUGGCUUUUGUGAGACUCUCUCUGAAAAUCUUCUGGAAUGUUCCAUAAAGCCAGUGUAUGGUUCAGCAGGACUUGGGGUGGUUCUUGGCACACAUAUACAUGCAUAUUGUCCUAUUUCCCCAUCUCCCUCAUACA